UAAACGUAUGCAUGGCGUUUUGCUAGUGUUCAAAUUCAUAGUUACGACAAAGUAUUUAUAUAAUCGGAUAUUCAUAUUUUAAAGGCGGCAGUAGGGAAGAUCGGUUCGUAAGGUUGCAUUUUACUACGCUGUAUUUUUUUUUUAAAUUUAUUAAUAAAGAUUGUUCAUCCGUGAUUAUUAAAUAACACGAAAUCGGAACCUUGCCCCUGACCACGAUUUGUUUGGGCCUUACACGUGGGUUCACACCUCAUGUGUUGUAGGUGCGGUGGUUACUGUUUUGGGAAGAUUUGUCUGUGGAAACACGCUGUAAGAGAUUGUGAUAACUGUCAACGUUUGCCCAUUGUCUGUCGAGUCUCAUGCUGAUGCUGUUGGAUGCUGUCCAAGUCCAUGAUUUCGCCUCAGAAUUUCGAAGUUCUCAAGAAUCGUCAUGGAAUGAGUCAAGUGACCAUUUGCAAGAGGGGUUAUUAGAGGGACAAACACCAAACAAUGAGAAGUCCCUAAGAUUGCUGGGAGGAACACGAAGGCUAACAUUUU